UACGUAGGGGGCUAGCGUUGUCCGGAAUCAUUGGGCGUAAAGAGCGUGUAGGCGGUCCGGUAAGUCCGCUGUGAAAGUCGGGGGCUCAACCCUCGAAUGCCGGUGGAUACUGUCGGGCUAGAGUACGGAAGAGGCGAGUGGAAUUCCUGGUGUAGCGGUGAAAUGCGUAGAUAUCUGGAGGAAUACCGGUGGCGAAGGCGGCGAUCCUGGACCGGCAGUUGACGCGUGACUGAGCGAAAGCUAGGGGAGCAACGGG
rnacentral:rRNA from 1 species